CACGUAGGGUGCGAGCGUUGUCCGGAAUUAUUGGGCGUAAAGAGCUCGUAGGCGGUGUGUCGCGUCGGCCGUGAAAACCUGCAGCUUAACUGUGGGCUUGCGGUCGAUACGGGCAUCACUGGAGUUCGGCAGGGGAGACUGGAAUUCCUGGUGUAGCGGUGAAAUGCGCAGAUAACAGGAGGAACACCGGUGGCGAAGGCGGGUCUCUGGGCCGAUACUGACGCUGAGGAGCGAAAGCGUGGGGAGCGAACAGG
rnacentral:rRNA from 1 species